rnacentral:rRNA from 1 species
GAACGAACGCUGGCGGCGUGGAUUAGGCAUGCAAGUCGAACGAGAAUCUGAGAGUCCAAGUUUUCGGACAAGGACUUUUGGAGGAAAGUGGCGGAAGGGUGAGUACAACAUGGAUAAUCUACCUUCAAGUUGGGUAUAGCUUUCCGAAAGGAGAGAUAAUCCCGGAUGUGGUGAUCCGGCGCAUGCCGGAGAUUCCAAAGGUGGGGACCGCAAGGCCUGCCGCUUGAAGAUGAGUCCGUGCACUAUCAGCUAGUUGGUGAGGUAAUGGCUCACCAAGGCUAUGACGGUUAGCUGGUCUGAGAGGAUGGUCAGCCACACUGGGACUGAGAUACUGCCCAGACUCCUACGGGAGGCUGCAGUCGAGAAUCAUUCGCAAUGGGCGAAAGCCUGACGGUGCGACGUCGCGUGGAGGAUGACGGUCUUCGGAUUGUAAACUCCUGUCAUGUGGGAUAAAUAGCCCGGGUGUGAAUAGCACUUAGGACUGAUAGUACCACAGGAGGAAGAGACGGCUAACUCUGUGCCAGCAGCCGCGGUAAUUCAGAGGUCUCGAGCGUUGUUCGGAUUUACUGGGCGUAAAGGGAGCGUAGGCGGCCGGGUGUGUCGAAUGUGAAAGCCCACAACUCAACUGUAAAAGAGCCUUCGAAACUGGCAAGCUUGAGUGUGGAUGNAGUAGGCGGAAUUUGUGGUGUAGCGGUGAAAUGCAUAGAUAUCACAAAGAACACCGAUNNCGCAGGCAGCUUACUAAACCAUAACUGACGCUCAUGCACGAAGGCGUGGGGAUCAAACAGGAUUAGAUACCCUGGUAGUCCACGCAGUAAACGAUGAUUACUGGCUGUUUGCGAUACAAUGUAAGCGGCUGAGCGAAAGCGUUAAGUAAUCCACCUGGGGAGUACGUUCGCAAGAAUGAAACUCAAAGGAAUUGACGGGGGCCCGCACAAGCGGAGGAACAUGUGGUUUAAUUCGAUGAUACGCGAGGAACCUUACCCGGGCUUGAAAUGCAUCUGACGUAUUCGGAAACGGAUAUUCCCUACGGGGCAGAUGUGUAGGUGCUGCAUGGUUGUCGUCAGCUCGUGCCGUGAGGUGUCGGCUUAAGUGCCAUAACGAGCGCAACCCUCAUCGUCAGUUACCAUCAGGUAAAGCUGGGGACUCUGGCGAGACUGCCAUCGUAAGAUGCGAGGAAGGUGGGGAUGACGUCAAAUCAGCACGGCCCUUACGUCCGGGGCGACACACGUGUUACAAUGGGUGGUACAAAGGGCAGCUACCUGGCGACAGGAUGCUAAUCUCCAAAACCACUCUCAGUUCGGAUCGGAGUCUGCAACUCGACUCCGUGAAGCUGGAUUCGCUAGUAAUCGCGCAUCAGCCACGGCGCGGUGAAUACGUUCCCGGGCCU